rnacentral:rRNA from 1 species
GACGAACGCUGGCGGCGUGCUUAACACAUGCAAGUCGAACGAUGAAGAAGAGCUUGCUCUUCGGAUUAGUGGCGAACGGGUGAGUAACACGUGACUAACCUGCCCCUUUCUCUGGGAUAACGCUCCGAAAGGAGUGCUAAUACCGGAUACUCACAUCGAGGCACAUGCCUUGAUGUGGAAAGUUUUUCGGAAAGGGAUGGAGUCGCGGCCUAUCAGCUUGUUGGUGAGGUAACGGCUCACCAAGGCGACGACGGGCAGCCGGCCUGAGAGGGCGACCGGCCACACUGGGACUGAGACACGGCCCAGACUCCUACGGGAGGCAGCAGUGGGGAAUAUUGCACAAUGGGCGAAAGCCUGAUGCAGCGACGCCGCGUGAGGGAUGAAGGUCUUCGGAUUGUAAGCCUCUUUCAGUAGGGACGAAGCGAAAGUGACGGUACCUAAAGAAGAAGCACCGGCUAACUACGUGCCAGCAGCCGCAGUAA